CAAGCUGGAAACGUGUUGCGUCACUGCGCUUACGUGUAGUAGUGACGCCAGUCUCGCGUGAUGAGACUUGUGGCUUUGGGAUUUUCUGUAAGAAAGGAGGCUACAAACCUACAAGUAACAGUUUUGCGGGAGGUUAUGAACUGAGCCUGGAUCAUUUGUUUCAAUAUACGGAUAUUCAUCGGCUCUUUAGUUUCACCUAAAUGAGUUCUGUUGAAAUCAACCCGAACACCUUGGAGUAAGUCUGAGAAAUGUUUCAUCAGAUGCCUGUAACAUUUUUCGACGUUGCUGCCUCAUUUACAGAGCAGCAGUGGUCCCGUUUGGAGACAUGGAAGAAAGAACUUUAUCAGAAUGUGAUGAAAGAACUGCAUGGAGCUUUAACCACACUAGGUUACAAAAUUGAAAAUCCAGAGAUUUUGUUCAAAAUAAAAAAUGCAGAUGACACUUGUGUGCGAAUAGAUGUUAAUUCCAAAGAAAAAGAAAAUAUUGAUAGUAAAGAUCUUCCCGAUAUAGUAGUAAGAAUAAAAGAGGAAACUUCGCUUCCCUGCACCACAGAGGAACAAAGUGUCAAAGUGAACCAGAAUGUGGAUUCACCAGCCCAAUCUUUUCCUGUUAUCACAUCAGCUACUUCCUUGUGCAUUAAGGAGGAGCAGCCUCGCACUGAAGUUCCAGCUUGUAAAAGUGUGACAGUUUCUCAAGAAGAUAUUGGUGGACAAAAUCCAAUCUUGGUUAAAACUGAAGAAGAAAGUUAUUCAAUAGACCAUUAUAAUUCUGGAUUUGUUAAAUCUGAUAGAUCCGCUGCUGGUCCAGUGGAAAUUAAACAGGAACCUGAACCCACAAGUGAUGAUGAUAACAAUUUUUCCAAUAUAAUUCCAGUUGUGGUAAAGCAAGAAGAUGGAGAUUCCUUCAGUCAUAAGAUUGAGGAAGCUGAACCUAUAGGAUAUUAUAGGUUAUGUGACCGAGCAAAUAGUGAGGGAACUCAGCAGGGGACAACAUCAAAUAUGGCUGAAAUGACAGCACAAAAAGGGAGCAACCUUUUCCCAAUUAAACCAGCUGCAGCAACAACAGCGUGCAACACAUCCCAUGGUUUGCAAAAACCCACAAAAGAACAAAGCAGCCAAGUCCCCAACGAACAGAGGAACCCAAACACAAUCAAAAAAACCACCUCUGACAUAGCAGGACUUCAUUCCUUCCUCAGUGAAAUGAACGAAAGACGAAAGAUAGAGGAAAUACCACACAAAGAGCUUGAUUUGCUGUUGUCCAGAUUUAUUCUUGUGGCUAAAAGAAAAGAUGGGAAAGAAUAUGAGCCUCACACACUUCGAUGCAUCCUUGGAAGCGUAGACCGAUAUUUGAAGGAAAAUGAUUAUCCGCACAAAAUUACUGAUGGAUUCAUAAACCACUUCCCAAAAACGAGGGAAUCUGUGUUUGCAAAACUAAAAUUUUUGAAAAAACAAGGAAAAGGAAAAAACAGAAAAGGGGAACUGACAGAGGAAGAUAUCGAGAAUUUAUACGAAUCUGGAACUUUGUCACUUAAUAAUCCUAAAAGUUUGCUAAAUCUUCUCUUCUUUAAUAAUGGCACUCAGUUUGCUUUAAGUGCAAAAGAACAGCAUGCCCUUCAGUGGGGCGACAUAACACUGCAUACAGACCCUGCUGGAAAGAGAUACUUAGAAUACACUAAAACACAAACAUAUUCAUGCUCUGAUGAAAAUCCCAAAAGCAUCAGAAAAACAAAACCAUGUAUUUAUGAAACACCAAAUACACCAAACAGAGACCCUAUUACUGCAUAUAUAAAAUAUAAAGAGAACAGACCAGACAAAAUGAUGACCCUAGAAUCUCCAUUCUAUUUGACUCCAAAUGUCUUUUACAAACCAGACUACCCAUCUUGGUAUCGGUGUACCAAAAUUGCAAUAGGCAAGAUACGAUUGAUGAUGACAAACUUGAAAAUUCAUGAAUUACUUAAAGAAUCUAAACAGUUAGUUCAGCCACCCAUAAAAAGUUUAAUUCAGACACGUGCCUCCAUGUUCAGCCUGCACCCCCCACAUUGCCUCAAUAAUCAUUCUUCUGAAACCGAAGAAACACAACAAAUAAAUAUCUCCAAUAGCACAACUGAAACAGAUAAAAACUCUACUUGUAACAAGAAACCAAGAAAAAGGAAAUCUACAAAUAUUCAACCAUGCACAUCUGCAUCAACUUCUAUCUACCAGACUGAAGAUACUGAACUCCAGAAAAGCAACGUCCAAGAUGCGCUUGGAAAGAACUGCACCCCAUCAAACGCCGAAGUUAAACCACACAAAAAAAGACUUGCAAUCGCUCCAAAUUAAAAAUAAAGUCACCUUCCAGGACAAAAAAACUAAACUAAGCAGACUAAACUUAAUAAUUAUAAUAUUUAGUGCCAUACUAAAAAUGUUAGUUUUUUUUUUUUUUUUUUUUAAAUGACAACCCAUUAGUAAAAGUUAAAUUGCAUCCAUACUGUGUGAUAUUUAGGGGUAAGGGUUAUAAUUGUGACCCCUUCCUUUGAAAUCUGAAUGGGGGGGAAGGCGGCAGGGUGGAAAUGUUGCUUUUGGGUGUACUGUACAGAGAUGAGAAAGUUAGAAAUAAUUUGUAGAAUAUGAAGUAUACAAUUUUAGAUGCACUUAUCUGAUAGAUUCCUGGAGUGACAAAUCCAGCAUAAUGACCUCAAAAAAUAGCACUUUAUUAGUGUUUUAUUGUGCAGCUCAAAUAGUUUGUAUUGGUUUUUGAGGAAAACUCCUUAUUGUAAGUCAUACAUAAAUGAGGAAUUUGCCAGGGAAUCUAUUACAUUAUGGCAAGAAAUACAUUCUAGAAAUAUGACAUGGAACACUUCCCUGUUCCUGGGAUCUGGUUAAGUUUAGCCUAAUUAUCUGCAAAAAAGAGAAAUUUGUGCUUAAGCAGCUCACUAAAAUGUACCCGUCUGACAGCAGUAAACACUUUAAAGUCUUAGCAAGUCUUCAAACAUGUAUUUGAAAUGUUUAAGGGGUUUUAAAGUGCCUAGGGAUGUGACUUUUAUAAGCAUAUCUCCUCCUGUGCACCUUCAGCUCAAGCUGUCUCAGGAGCCAGUGUAGCUCCCAAGUUAGUAAGCUUAUAAUUGUUUAAAAGUUUGGAGAUUCAGCAGAUAUCUGGUUGCUAGGAUCCAAAUUACCUUAGCAACCAAGGAGUGAUUUGAAUGAGAGACUGAAAUAUGAAUAGGACAUGACGUGAAUAGAAUUAAGUUAUCAAAAGUAGUGAUUGUAAUGACUUAUCUUAUACCCUGGGCCGGUGCUCCUGUUUGCAGAAAACUGCACCGGCCAGGGGUUCAUGGGACUGAGCAAACCUCUUCCUUAACACGUCUAUCUUUGGAAUUCCGGGGCUGCCACUUGCGCAAUAGAGUGAAAAAGCUGGCUUUCCUGUUUAAGAAGGAGGAAGAGGAUUGCUGACCCCUGGCCAGUGCAGCUACCGCUUACAGGAGCACCAACCCAGGAUAUCAGGUAAGUCGUCCUUUCCAUCUCCUUUAAAUACAAUUGCCAGGGCAAAGACACCUGAUCUGAAUUUAUUUAUUGCUUCUCCCACCCCUGGGGAAAUCUGUUUGCCUUUUUUAUACACCACAGGAUAUAAAAACUCAUCUGAGACUUCUGAGGCAUUUUUAAACUAUCCCAGCAUACAUUUUCAUCUUUAAUAUAGUACUACUAUAUGUAAGUGCUAUAUGUAAUAAUUUUCAUUAGCAGCUGUGCAGACAUCCUGGAAAUGGUGGGGGACCGCUAUCAGAUCACCAGCUGUGCCACUGGCUGUUGCUUCUUUCUAUUUUAAACAGUUGAAAUUAAUUGGCAAUUUUAUCUUCUGAAUUAAAGUGCAAGUUCAUAAAAAUAUCUUUUGCAAGAGGAAAUAUACCAAUUCAUAGGUUUCUAUGUAAAUUUGUAUCUCUAAAGAAAAAGUCUAUUUAUUGUUCUGCCUAUUACGCUCUACCUGUAGAAACACAUUUUCUACUAUUCGAAGUCCUUAGGUCUAUAACCUAUCUUGGAAUGAUCACUAUUGCAGAUGCCAUCUUGGAUUGUACGUACGUCAUUUCUCCCUACUUGCAAUCUUUUGGAGCAGUGAAGAGAGGUGAACUUUAUUCACUGAUGAUGUGCGGGUAUGCCAUAUUACCCACGUGCCAUCACUGAAGCUGACAAAAAUAUAAUUGAUUGCGUGGAAGAAUAGUAAACAUUCCGCAGACAAAGACACACCGCUAUGGCGCAAUAAUGCCAUCUGGUAAUCAUGGAUUUCAAUCCAAACUUAAGAAGGAAGAUUUUUGGGCUUCUCUUUCAAAAGAAAGGACUGAAUGGCUUUUUUUAAAUGUUGAGCACCAGAGACAACUGACUAGAUGAUCCUUUCUUCCCAAUAAAUCCACGCAAGGCAGAAGCUUACCUGACGACGAGAGCCCUGAAUAACAUCCAAGAAUGGCAAAUACUACACGGUCCAUUGUGGCUGCUGCUUUCCUUUGGCAUCUGUUGAUGAAUUACAGUGCUGAAAUUCAGACUGUCAGAUCACAGAUUUAAAUGGUAGCAAGUGCAUUACAGAGAACCCCAUUUUCAUUAUUAUUUCUCUAUGCGCAAUGCUUGAAAACUUCAUAGACAUCCACAAAACUAUAGAUAUAAAUUAAUCUAACAUAUAUGGAUUUUUUGCCACAGAUUUAGUGUUUCAUUGACUUGAGGAUCAGGGUUAACUUCAACAAUUUUGGGACAUUUAACAAGAUGCCCACUCCCUACUGAUGAAGAGCCACAUAUUCCUACAUCAUAUGUUAGUUUAGGUAUUGCUCAACUAUACUUAAGAGUUCUGCCUAACAUUGUCCAAUAUGCAAAAGAUGUAAGUGUGGUGUAUUUUUUGAGUUGUUGGUAGUGGUAGAUUGCACUACACAUAUUGCUUUAAAGAAUGACUCACUUGGUCUUGGCUUCUUUUGUGCCGUCUUCUCUUACACCCAUUGCUGUAUUGUUGAUCAGUACUUGCAGUGAGUUAUGGCAGUGGUAGCAUGAUGCUUUGGUGCUGAUUUGCAUCCACAGAGUAAUAUUUCUAGAACCUGUUUCACCCUGCUAAGUACUUGGGCUAACAAGAUGAUAAUCCCCAAAAAGAUGGCCAAAGAAGCAUUGUAGCAGUCCUUUAUCAAAGACCUUAUCCCAAUCUACCCAAUCUAUGAAAAACUAUGGCAUUACUAGACUAACUACUACAACCUACAAAAUAAUAAUUAGAUUCCCUCUGUGGCCCCCUUCUUAAACAGAAAAUAUUGCAAAAACUAGUGCUGUUUCAUAUGCCAGAAAUUAAUGCUCAUCUGUAUUCUUCCCAGCUGCCAUAUUGGAUCUUCCAGCCACUUGAGGCAAGAUUAUAUGAUGUUCACUCUCCUGUGUCUGUACUUUUUGCCCACCUUCUUACUGCUCAAGGUUAAUAUCUCUUGCACACCAGUUCUAAGGCAUACAUGUCAUCAAGCCUAGCUGCAGGAAAAUAAGCGCAUUCUCCUGAAUUUAAAAACUUACAUUGUUCAUGCUCUGAUUGCCUUCCACAUCGAUUCAAGGCAAGGUGGAGCAGGCACUGACAUCACUUGAGUAUAAGAAGUUUCCUGGACAGUUUGCCAUCUGGCACUGCCAGAAAGAAAGGUAUUAAAAGAGUGAAAUACUUGGCCCUGGAUUUGCUUAUCAAAUGGAUAUUGGUUUAAAAAGAAAAAAUGAACAAAGUCACAUUAAAUAAAACAUUUUUGAGUUUUGGUGCUUUGAUAUAUAGAUAUAACAAACAACAGUGUCAGUGGGGGAAUUGUUAAUUAGUUAAAUGAGAAUUGGUAAAGGGUCUCAAUACUUUUGCAAGGUCACAGAUGGGGAGCAUAAGGUUAUUAUUUCUUUCAUUGCAAAAACAAAUGACUAUAUGGUGAAAAAAAACUAAUGCCAUUUAUUUUUAUAUUACUGUAUACAUUUUCCAUAUAGAUAUUUGAGGAUGACUUCCUAUCAUGCAUUCACCAUUUGGGUGCUGAGAUUCUUGGAACAGCAGUGGCAGUUUAAUUAAAAUUGAUGAGUACUGUGCUAUUGACAUGGCUGCUGAUUAAUAAUAUUUGUGUCAGUGUUUUUCCGUUUUGGAUUUCAUAAAUAUGUGCAAUUUUUUUUCUAAUAAAAAUAAGUUAUUAAAAGUA